ACCUCCGCUGUCCAUCCAGAACAUCGAUUUGACACUAAUAACCUGAAAAGAUAUCUGUCAGAAAAACUUGACAGCUUUUCAGGCAACAGUAGCAGUACAGAGCUGGGCAAUCCAACCCAACGUUUUACAUUGAGACUGCAGAUAAGCGUUAUGUGCUCAGAUAAAAGCCUCCAGGAGAGCUGCUGCCCCGGAGCUCAUAAGCCUCUUAUGAAGACUUCACAUGACCCAGCACCUGUGAAUAGUGGACUCCAGAUACAAAACGAUGACAUUUUCAUUGCUUUAAAAUGUGCAGAAAGUUUGCUUAAAUGCAUAUAUGGUAUUUGUAAAUACUAUAAUUUGUACUAGACUUCAACUGUUCUUUCUGAUACCCACUCCUAUAAAGACUAUUCUGGUUUUGUAACAGAAAAACAUGCAUUUUCUGUAAAGCUGCUCUGAAACAAUAUGUGUUGUGAAAUGCGUUAUACAAA